UUAAUAAAUUAUAAUGACUGUUGCUUUUAAAACUAGUUUUCCGGGGCGCCUGGAUGGCUCAGUGGGUUAGGUCGCUGCCUUCGGCUCGGGUC